CCAACAUGGUCAUCUGUUGAGGUUACUCAUGGCUCCGUCCAAGUGUCAUAUGGGAGUAUAGCCCUAAGUGCAGUGAUGUGCAAUCCCCUUCCACAGUUGGAAGAGCAAACCUGUCCCUGGUUCUAGAGCUGAUGGGGACAGAAUCCUGUAUAUUCCUAUAAUUUCUCAUUGUCUUUAGACAAUUACUGAGACGAGAGACCAUGCAGGGUGCAGCU
rnacentral:snoRNA from 13 species